AUAUUGGCUGAUCGCAUUAUUAAUCCGCACCCCCCCUAUUGAGGACAUGUGGAAUUUCCAAUGCCCCCCUGCAAAAGUGAACCAAAAAUGAAGGAAUUUCCAUGGGAGGGUCCAAAUUUUAAAGCAAAUCUGCGGAAAUUCCAAAGGGUAGGUAAGAAAAAUGAGUAAAACGUAUGGAAUUUCCAUGGGAGGGUCAACAAUGGAAAAGAAAUUCCAAAGGAUAGGAUAAAAAUCAGCAAGGAAUUUUCCAAGGGAUAGCUACUAAUCAAAGAAUCAAUACGGAAUUUCCACUGGCUAGAUGAAAAACUGUCAAGGAAUUUCCAU